rnacentral:misc_RNA from 1 species
GUUAUUAUAAUCGGUAAAGCGGUUCCGAAGUUAUUUCACAAUUUUGUUUAUAUAAAAUGCGUUUCCGGGGCCCAUUGCAAUUAGUAGCGCUUGCGAAAUUACGGCAGAGUCGCCACUUGUGGGAAAUACUUUAAAUUAGAGAUCAGAACCAUGUCUGCCUUCGGUGAUGAAGUGGAUGCAGUUUGGCCAGCGGUUUCUGGAGACUCCCAGCCCCUGACGGAGUUCGGGAUGAAGCUGCUCCAGGACUGCCGGAAAGUAAAGAAGCCGAAGGCGAAAACUGACGGCCUUGCCUCCAUGGUGAUGCAGAAAUCCAAAGAGUUCCCCUUGCCAUUUGGCGUGGAGAGUGUCCGUGUCCACAAGCAGUCACCACUUCGGCUGGCUAGCAUUGACAUGCAGAUAGCUUCUACGUAUCCGGUUAUCCACGAACGUACCUUGGGCCUCUAUUUGCAAUACCUGGAGCACAAGUGCAAGUGGGGCAAUUCCAUUGAGAAACCCGUCUAUAAGCCGCUCUCCCUCUGCGGUUUUGUCCAGCGUCUCCUGGAGAAGCGCUGUGCCAGCUUCAUAGCCCGCAAUGACAAGUACCUGCUCCUUAGCGGUGAACGGGGAGCCAGUGGCUUCGAAACUGUGGGCACCGCCGAGGAGAAGGCGCCCUUGGUGCUGGCCGACCUACUCAGCUACGACGACAUCAAGCUGUCCGCUCUGCUGACCGUCAGCUCCCACACCAUUUUCAUCAACGAGGGCGAGCGUGCCAAUUGCGGUCGCGUUGCCUUCAACUCCAAGACUCUGGAGCCGAGUGGUGUCAUUGUGGGCAUGAUUGGAGCCCGGCUGUCGCGGCGGAAUCUGAUGGAGUUCCAGGACAUUGUGAUUGCCCGCACUCAGAACACCCGAGAGCGGGGCUACGGCAUGGCUCUGGAUGCACCGGCCACCACCAGGGAGCAGGACUAUCGGCGCUUGUGGCGUGGAUUCUACGCCAUGCGGGAUCUGGUGCAUGGCCAGGCCACCAUUGACCAUCAAAGGUUCGGUCCCUCGGGCAAUAAGUUGGAUGUUUUCGACAAUCUGGCUAUGAAACGGCGCUAUGCGAUCAGCUUCGAUCUGCUGCUCCUGGAGGCCCAGGCCCGGGCCAAGGCCACCAACCGUCUGGCCUACGUCCAUGUGGUGGGCUUCGGGUUGGGCGUGUGGAAGGUGGCCGUCCAGCAGGAGCGCAUCUUUCUGGAGGCCUUUGAGCAGCGCAUGCGCACCCUCGGUUCCAGGUUGGAUCACUUGGGUGUCGUGCACUUCUCCUGGUUCACCAUGAAGGAAUGCGGCGGCCUAAAGGACGGUGCUCUGGUGGAGAUACCCGGUCAUCCCAAGAAGGGUAUUCGUGUCCGCAUCUCCAAGCGAAAUCCGGCCGAGAAGUUGACGGGACCGGAGAAUGCCGACAUGCUGCUGGUGGUGUCCUACGCCUGGGAUGGUAAUGCCUUGCCGGGCAAUGAGUUCUGGAUGAAGUGGACAAGCGACAAUUGAAAGUCACGAAGCAUGAAAUUAAUGAUGAUUUCCGAGUCAUCGGCUGGGAGAGGCUUCACUUUAUAUACUUCUCCCUGUUUGUAUACAGUUUCCCGGUUGCCUUUAGGUGUCAGAAGUGUUGAUAGGCGCUGAUUAGGAAAAUAAUAUGAGGAAUACUAUACAAAUUAGUGUUAUAGUUGAGGUUUUCUUAUCAGGACAUUUCCAAAAGUACCAAAGUUAAAUGAAAAAAAAUGCUCAAGUCCACGGGGGACUCCUCGACGGGCUGCUCCACUCUGGUGGCUGAGCUCCACAAUCCGCACAUCAAUACGGUGUUCUG